UACAGAGGGGGCAAGCGUUGUUCGGAAUUACUGGGCGUAAAGGGCGCGUAGGCGGCCUGCUAAGUCGAACGUGAAAUCCCCGAGCUCAACUCGGGAACUGGCGUCCGAUACUGGCAGGCUUGAAUCCGGGAGAGGGAUGCGGAAUUCCAGGUGUAGCGGUGAAAUGCGUAGAUAGUCUGGAGGAACACCGGUGGCGAAGGCGGCAUCCUGGACCGGCAUUGACGCUGAGGCGCGAAAGCCAGGGGAGCAAACGGG
rnacentral:rRNA from 1 species